AUAUUAACCGUUUUCAAGCAUCCAAAGGCGAAAUGCUUCAUCUCUGGGAUGGAGUAGAGGAGUAGCCUCUGCGGUUGAGUUGCAGUCGUGGGUGCAAGAAGCAGCGCUGAAGCAGAGUGCAGCCCCGGAAUAGGGCGGGAUGGAAUGGCCUGGGCAGUUCAGAAACCCGCGAGGAGUCCAGGGCGGAACAGAGGGAAGAAGGCCAUUUGGAGAUAGAAGCAGGGAUUGGAGUGAUGCAACUGGAAGCCAAGAAACGCCGCAGAAUGCCAGGAGCCAGCAGAAGCUAAGAAAAGGCAAAG
rnacentral:lncRNA from 10 species